rnacentral:rRNA from 1 species
CCUACGGGUGGCAGCAGUGAGGAAUAUUGGUCAAUGGACGGAAGCCUGAACCAGCCAUGCCGCGUGCAGGAUGACGGCUCUAUGAGUUGUAAACUGCUUUUGUACGCGAAUAAUAGUUCUUACGUGUAGGGAUUUGCAUGUAUCUUACGAAUAAGGAUCGGCUAACUCCGUGCCAGCAGCCGCGGUAAUACGGAGGAUUCGAGCGUUAUCCGGAUUUAUUGGGUUUAAAGGGUGCGUAGGCUGUCGGAUAAGUUAGAGGUCAAAUGUCGGGGCUUAACCCCGUGCAUGCCUCUGAUACGGUUCGACGAGAGAGCGGAUGAAGCAGGCGGAAUGAGUAGUGUAGCGGUGAAAUGCAUAGAUAUUACUCAGAACACCGAUUGCGAAGGCAGCUUGCGAAUCCGUAUCUGACGCUGAUGCACGAAAGCGUGGGUAGCGAACAGGAUUAGAUACCCGUGUAGUC